rnacentral:rRNA from 1 species
AUUGAACGCUAGCGGGAUGCCUUACACAUGCAAGUCGAACGGAGUGGCGAACGGGUGAGUAAUGUAUCGGAACGUGCCCAGUAGCGGGGGAUAACUACGCGAAAGCGUAGAUAAUACCGCAUACUAUAGGAGCGGCCGAUAUCGGAUUAGCUAGUUGGGGGGGUAACGGCUCACCAAGGCGACGAUCCGUAGCUGGUUUGAGAGGACGACCAGCCACACUGGGACUGAGACACGGCCCAGACUCCUCCGGGAGUCAGCAGUGGGGAAUUUUGGACAAUGGGGGAAACCCUGAUCCAGCCAUCCCGCGUGAGUGAUGAAGGACUUCGGGUUGUAAAGCACUGUUGGCAGGAAAGCGGUACCGACAGAAUAAGGACCGGCUAACUACGAGCCAGCAGCCGCGGUAAUUC